ensembl:misc_RNA Metazoa_SRP Metazoan signal recognition particle RNA
GCUGGGUGUGGUGGCGCACGCCUGUAAUCCCAGCUACUCGGGAGGCUGAGGCAGAAGAAUCGCUUGAACCCAGGAGGCAGAGGUUGCAGUGAGCUGAGAUCGUGCCACUGCACUCCAGCCUAAGCGACAGAGUGAGACUCUGUCUCAA